UGGCAGGUCAGCAUACUGCCGUGAAUACGUUCCCGGGCCUUGUACACACCGCCCGUCACACCAUGAGAGUUGGGAAUACCCGAAGCCUGUGAGCUAACUUUUAGAGGCAGCAGUCGAAGGUAGAAUCAAUGAUUGGGGUGAAGUCGUAACAAGGUACC
rnacentral:rRNA from 1 species